rnacentral:rRNA from 1 species
CCUACGGGAGGCUGCAGUGAGGAAUAUUGGGCAAUGGACGCAAGUCUGAACCAGCCAUGCCGCGUGCAGGAAGACGGCCCUAUGAGUUGUAAACUGCUUUUGUACGAGGGUAAACGCCUAUACGCGUAUCUGUCUGAAUGUAUCGUACGAAUAAGGAUCGGCUAACUCCGUGCCAGCAGCCGCGGUAAUACGGAGGAUUCGAGCGUUAUCCGGAUUUAGUGGGUUUAAAGGGUGCGUAGGCGGUCGGAUAAGUUAGAGGUGAAAUCCCGAGGCUUAACUUCGGAAUUGCCUCUGAUACUGUGCGGCUAGAGAGCAGUAGCGGUAGGCGGAAUGUAUGGUGUAGCGGUGAAAUGCUUAGAGAUCAUAAAGAACACCGAUUGCGAAGGCAGCUUACCAAGCUACGUCUGACGUUGAGGCACGAAAGCGUGGGGAGCAAACAGGAUUAGAUACCCCAGUAGUC